CACAUAUUCAUGAUAAUGAAUAAUCCAUUCCUUGGUUUGAAACAAAGAACCUGCCCUUUACUAAGUAAAGCCAUUUUUACAGUUAAGAUUGUAAAUACACGAAAUUUGCAACUUCAAUGGUAUUGUACCACCAAUAAGAAUAUAAAACCACAAUUAAAAUCUCCCGUCUUACUCCAAUGAUAACCAUAGGUAACGUAGAGUUUGGAACCCUGAACCAACUGCCGGUGAUAAGCCGGAUCAGUACUGCUGGAACUUGUAACAUGAAUACUUCCAGUUUUGGGUGCCUCAAAUGACUGUCAUGGCAAGGAACACCACCCAGUGUGGUUGGUUCCUUACUCUCCCUCUUAAGGGAGAGGUCUUUAGUUCGAGUCCUCAUGGAGGGGGUGCUCGACUCAUGUUGUAACUACUAACAAGUACCAACUAACCCCUAACAUCCUACCGUAUGGCAGAAAAAAGAAAAAAAGAGAUUAUAAAGCUACAAAUACUAUUUCAGUUGUCAAUUAAUGAACUAAAUAUUGAAGCAUCCGAUUGCAUUUGCCCGGUGGAAAAACAAUAGGCCAACAACAUAAUCUCCGCUCCAUUUUAUUAUCGGCAACGUAUAGCGCUGAAGGUGCUACCGAAAAAGCGCCCCAGAGACUCUAAUUUGUUGCCUUUAAGUGAGAAUUUUCCAACCGUACCAACGGAGUAAACACCUACCCCCAAACAACUAAUAUUGCAAAACAAGUCAGACAACUGUUUACAAACAAUCAGAUAAUAAAAAACUGUUAAUGAAAAAAAACAAAAGGACUCGUCAUUUUCACCCCUUGAAAAUAAUUGGGUGGGCUAUGUUUCGAGAACAUAAAAUAUGGGGUCUAUUGAAAAAAAUAAUGUUAGAAAGCCAUCUUGCAAAGAGGUUUCUAAUAAGUUUCCAAACAGGCUUAUCAUAACACAAAUCUGCAAAAACAAGCGACCAAAGCAACAAACACAACCUCAAAACACCACUCCGGACACGGUGUCCAGAGCCCUUCGAUGCAUGUGUACUCCAGAUGCUAUUUGAAUCCGGAGUUCUAUUUUAAAGUUGUGUUUAAAGACUUUUUGAAAACAAAAUUGAGGUCCUUUUAGAUCACUUUGUUUGCAAGGAAAUCCCUCAAAAAAUGGGACUCGGGAUGCUGUAGUCCACCCCGCACUACAACAUCUGUUGCGGCCGAUCUAGCCGUCCAUUUCAGCACGGACAGCUCGGAUUUAGUCUGAACAAUGGACGGACGGUCCCAUUGUUCGGACCCAAGUGAAAGAAGGCUCAGAGAGUAAUUAAAAAAAUGCAAUCAUCAAUACUUCAUAGAUGGAACAAUAUAUAUUUCCUCGUCACUGCCUCAAUAACUACUUUUCACAAACGAGCCAAAAAGAAAAAAGAAGAGCAAAUUAAACACUCUGUUAUUAGAUACAUGAUCGUAUUGAGAUGAACUUUAGGAUCUAGACCUUGAAUUUUGUAACCAUUAAGAGGAAGAUUGGACUCAUCUGACCUCGCAAACACUGCACUUGAGAAGACGGUGGCGUUGAGAAGAGAAGGGAUGAGC